rnacentral:lncRNA from 1 species
AGUCAAUGAAUAGCAUCCGAACAUCGAAUCUGCAUAGCAUCGAGAAAUAGUUGAAUUAAAGAACUAUUUGUACAGUAUUAUCUCAAGCUACAAUCCACAAUAUACCAUCAAAAUAAACAAGCACUUGACUCUCCAAGACGAUCUCUUGCAACAAAUCCUAACGGGCUCAACUGAUUACAUAACACCCAUGAAUCUCAGCACUAUCCUGGCCAUGGAUUCUUAAACAUUGCCAAACCCUAUCCAUUUCAAACCUGGACAGGAUUAAUCAAAUAAAAAAAUCAAUUUACUCUAAUUCAAAAAAAAAUUGAAAUAUUCUUGGUUCUUACCUCAUGGCACAUGUGCUUUAUUUGUUUCCUUGCAAGAACCAAAUGUACCAAAACAGCGCAGCACGGGGAAGAAAAAGAGGAAGAAGAAAGCUGCGGCGGCCGAAGGUUUAAGAGCUUACUGUGGAUUAGGGUUCUGCGGAGCCGCCCACGUUUGAAAUGGAAAAGCUUGUUUGAGACCACAUUUAAGAGAAAAUGAGAAAUUUGGUAGCCUUCACAAGCCAACGAGAAAAGCAAAAUCAAAGGAAAAGAUGAAAAUCACCAAGCUUUAAAAACAAAACGGGUUCAACUGAAUGGAGUUGGCAGAAGAAAGCUGAAAUUAACCUAUUGCUAAUGAAAAUCAUGGAGACUAAGCAGAAAUUAGGUCCAGAAAUUAAAAUAAAAUAAAAAAAGAAAAGGCAGAGGAGAGGAGGGGCGGCGCUGUCUCUGCAAAUGGGAAUGAUGCUGUAGAGUAAAGGGAAGGAGGAAAGGGAGUAGCUGAAUGGAGUUGGCAGAAGAAAGCAGAAAUUAACCUAUUGCUAAUGAAAAUGAUGGAGGCUAAGCAGAAAUUAGGUCCAGAAAUUAUUAAAAAAAAAGGCAGAGGAGAGGAGGGGCGGCGCCGUCUCUGCAAAUGGGAAUGAUGUUGUAGAGUAAAGGGAAGGAGGAAAGGGAGUAAUGGAGGUAUACGGAUAGGGCAAGGGAGAGCAAAGGGGAAAGAAGGGAGAGCAGGAGGAAGAGCGGCGGGAGAUAAGAUACGAUACUCUUAGGGUUAGAAAUUAGAAAAAAAAAAAAAAAAGAGGAGGAGGAAGAGAACCAAACGGUUGGACCCCUGCAACCCAGAGAACGCGAGAGACCGACGAUCGAUGCUCCUUGCGUGGUAAGAAGAGAAACGGAUAUCUUGACAGGCUCUUGUACCAGGGCUAGAGGAUAAGAAACAGAGCAACAUUGUGCAAAAGAAGGAGAG